rnacentral:sRNA from 1 species
AGAAGUGGAUCAAAGGCUAAAAACGCCACAUCCUGUGGCAACGCCUUUGUGACUCCCAUCGUGUGAG